CGAUGAACCACUUCGGUGGGGAUUAGUGGCGAACGGGUGAGUAACACGUGGGCAAUCUGCCCUGCACUCUGGGACAAGCCCUGGAAACGGGGUCUAAUACCGGAUAUUGACCUUCACGGGCAUCUGUGAGGUUCGAAAGCUCCGGCGGUGCAGGAUGAGCCCGCGGCCUAUCAGCUUGUUGGUGAGGUAAUGGCUCACCAAGGCGACGACGGGUAGCCGGCCUGAGAGGGCGACCGGCCACACUGGGACUGAGACACGGCCCAGACUCCUACGGGAGGCAGCAGUGGGGAAUAUUGCACAAUGGGCGAAAGCCUGAUGCAGCGACGCCGCGUGAGGGAUGACGGCCUUCGGGUUGUAAACCUCUUUCAGCAGGGAAGAAGCGAAAGUGACGGUACCUGCAGAAGAAGCGCCGGCUAACUACGUGCCAGCAGCCGCGGUAAUACGUAGGGCGCAAGCGUUGUCCGGAAUUAUUGGGCGUAAAGAGCUCGUAGGCGGCUUGUCACGUCGGUUGUGAAAGCCCGGGGCUUAACCCCGGGUCUGCAGUCGAUACGGGCAGGCUAGAGUUCGGUAGGGGAGAUCGGAAUUCCUGGUGUAGCGGUGAAAUGCGCAGAUAUCAGGAGGAACACCGGUGGCGAAGGCGGAUCUCUGGGCCGAUACUGACGCUGAGGAGCGAAAGCGUGGGGAGCGAACAGGAUUAGAUAC
rnacentral:rRNA from 1 species